UACAGAGGUGGCAAGCGUUGUUCGGAAUUACUGGGCGUAAAGGGCGCGUAGGCGGCCUUCUAAGUCGAACGUGAAAUCCCCGGGCUUAACCCGGGAACUGCGUCCGAUACUGGGAGGCUUGAAUUCGGGAGAGGGAUGCGGAAUUCCAGGUGUAGCGGUGAAAUGCGUAGAUAUCUGGAGGAACACCGGUGGCGAAGGCGGCAUCCUGGACCGACACUGACGCUGAGGCGCGAAAGCUAGGGGAGCAAACGGG
rnacentral:rRNA from 1 species